rnacentral:rRNA from 1 species
CAGUAGCCGCGGGAAUACAGAGGGUGCGAGCGUUAAUCGGAUUUACUGGGCGUAAAGCGUGCGUAGGCGGCUUUUUAAGUCGGAUGUGAAAUCCCUGAGCUUAACUUAGGAAUUGCAUUCGAUACUGGGAAGCUAGAGUAUGGGAGAGGAUGGUAGAAUUCCAGGUGUAGCGGUGAAAUGCGUAGAGAUCUGGAGGAAUACCGAUGGCGAAGGCAGCCAUCUGGCCUAACACUGACGCUGAGGUACGAAAGCAUGGGGAGCAAACAGGAUUAGAUACCCCUGUAGUCCCUGUCUCUUAUAC